rnacentral:rRNA from 1 species
GAUGAACGCUGGCGGCGUGCCUAAUACAUGCAAGUCGAGCGAACAGACGAGGAGCUUGCUCCUCUGACGUUAGCGGCGGACGGGUGAGUAACACGUGGAUAACCUACCUAUAAGACUGGGAUAACUUCGGGAAACCGGAGCUAAUACCGGAUAAUAUAUUGAACCGCAUGGUUCAAUAGUGAAAGACGGUUUUGCUGUCACUUAUAGAUGGAUCCGCGCCGCAUUAGCUAGUUGGUAAGGUAACGGCUUACCAAGGCGACGAUGCGUAGCCGACCUGAGAGGCGGAUCGGCCACACUAGAACGGAGACACGGUCCAGACUCCUACGGGAGGCAGCAGUAGGGAAUCUUCCGCAAUGGGCGAAAGCCUGACGAAGCAACGCCGCGUGAGUGAUGAAGGUCUUCGGAUCGUAAAACUCUGUUAUUAGGGAAAAACAAAUGUGUAAGUAACUAUGCACGUCUUGACGGUACCUAAUCAGAAAGCCACGGCUAACUACGUG